GCCGCAAAACAGGACUCUUGUUAGAAUAAUGAUUGUUAUGUAGUGUGAUUAUUUGCGAAACGUGGUGAAGAACGAAAAUUUCGUAAUAGAACUCGGUAUUCGUUCAUUGUAAUGUAUAUCUACGGUUUCCAAUAACAAGAAGACGAAGCAAAAAGGAAGAGCAAGGUUAUACGAACGUCUCUUUUCUUUGUCAAUUGGUACUAGCUUCCCCUAGGAUAUUCGCAGAAGAAGUCGGAGGCUGGGGAUUGUCGUAGCAUCAGGGAUGACUGGUCGAACCUCCCGGCAUUUUAUCUGGUAAUGUGGUUAGCCGACAUGCAUCUUCUUUCCCCGCAAUGCAAAGCAGACUUGGACAUGGUGUUCAUCGCCAGAAUGGGUUUCUUCAUGAUCUUUGUGCUGUUGACGGAGGACGACGAAGAGGAGGCUGCACACUCGCCGCAUUCAGUCUCGUCGCUGUGAUCCGCACAAUCCAAGUAGCCGUCGCAUCGCCAGUCAACCGGAAUGCAUCUGGUCCCAUCGCAUUGGAACCCACUGGUGCAUACUGUGCAACGCAUGCAUCAAGAAAUGGCUAACAGUACAGUUCUUUUCUACAUACUACGUACACUCGCGUUUCUCCAUCGUCUAUUUUAUUUCCAAUUUUUCUCAUCUUGUUUUUUACGUUUUUCUCUGUUCAGAGUUUUCGAUGGUCGCGUAAUGGAAGAGGAACAGAUGAAACGUGAAAAUGUAAAAAAAUUGAAAGAAUAGCGGAUCAGAGAAUGCAUGAUAAAUGGCUGUGAUUGUCUUCUGGUUGGGGAUUUGCUCAUUGUAAUGCUGAGGUAUUACGGGACGGUAUAGUUAUCCACUUUUUUUAUGUCUUUGUAUUGAGAUAAUUAAUGCAGGAUCGAUAAUGUUAAUCGUCGAUGAGAUUUCUAGGUACAAAUCUUCCCUUUCGAGCAAA